GAGUUUGAUCCUGGCUCAGAAUGAACGCUGGCGGCGUGCUUUACACAUGCAAGUCGAGCGAGGCGGCCCGCAAGGGUCAGUCGAGCGGCGAACGGGUGAGUAACGCGUGGAUUAUCUACCCUGAGGUGGGGGAUAACCCGGGGAAACUCGGGCUAAUACCGCAUAUGACCGCGAGGUCAAAGGGGGGCCGCAAGAUCUCUCGCCAUAGGAGGAGUCCGCGUUCGAUUAGCUAGUUGGUAGGGUAAUGGCCUACCAAGGCGACGAUCGAUAGCCGGCCUGAGAGGGUGAUCGGCCACACUGGAACUGAGACACGGUCCAGACUCCUACGGGAGGCAGCAGUGGGGAAUUUUGCGCAAUGGGCUAACGCCUGACGCAGCAACGCCGCGUGGAGGAUGAAGGUCUUUGGAUUGUAAACUCCUGUCGACCGGGAAAAAGCAUCUCGACCUAAUACGUCGGGGAGUUGAUUGUACCGGUGGAGGAAGCCCCGGCUAACUCUGUGCCAGCAGCCGCGGUAAUACAGAGGGGGCUAGCGUUAUUCGGAAUUAUUGGGCGUAAAGGGCGCGUAGGCGGCCCUGCGUGUCUUCCGUGAAAUCCCUCGGCUUAACUGAGGACGUGCGGAAGAAACUGCAGGGCUCGAGUCCGGGAGAGGGGGGUGGAAUUCCCAGUGUAGCGGUGAAAUGCGUAGAUAUUGGGAGGAACACCGGUGGCGAAGGCGGCCCCCUGGACCGGUACUGACGCUGAGGCGCGAAAGCGUGGGGAGCAAACGGGAUUAGAUACCCCGGUAGUCCACGCCGUAAACGAUGGGCACUUGGUGUCGCGGGUAUCGACCCCUGCGGUGCCGAAGCUAACGCAUUAAGUGCCCCGCCUGGGGACUACGGCCGCAAGGUUAAAACUCAAAGGAAUUGACGGGGACCCGCACAAGCGGUGGAUGAUGUGGAUUAAUUCGAUGCAACGCGAAAAACCUUACCUACCCUUGACAUGUCAGGAAGUCCGCUGAGAGGUGGAUGUGCCCGAAAGGGAACCUGAACACAGGUGCUGCAUGGCUGUCGUCAGCUCGUGUCGUGAGAUGUUGGGUUAAGUCCCGCAACGAGCGCAACCCUUGUCAUUAGUUGCUACAUUCAGUUGGGCACUCUAAUGAGACUGCCGGUGACAAACCGGAGGAAGGUGGGGAUGACGUCAAGUCCUCAUGGCCCUUAUGGGUAGGGCCUCACACGUCAUACAAUGGCGCAUACAGAGGGUUGCCAACCCGCGAGGGGGAGCCAAUCCCAGAAAGUGCGUCGUAGUCCGGAUUGGAGUCUGCAACUCGACUCCAUGAAGUCGGAAUCGCUAGUAAUCGCGGAUCAGCAUGUCGCGGUGAAUACGUUCCCGGGUCUUGCACACAC
rnacentral:rRNA from 1 species